UUAGUACUCCCUCCGUCUGGAAUUAUUUGUCACAGAAAUAGAUGAAAAUAGAUGUAUCUAUAACUAAAAUACGUCUAGAUACAUCCAUUUCUAUGACAAGUAUUUUCGGACAGAGGGAGUAUAAA
rnacentral:pre_miRNA from 1 species